AACACCCAGGUCCUUCACCAAUGUCUGAGGACGUACGCACUCAUAGACAAAAUAAAGGAUGCCGAGAAUCUGUUCCGACAGAACGUGGUCAGACCAUACAUGGAAGAGGUCAUCAGUGAGCAAUGUGUUAAAAGUAAGGGCUUGGACGGGAUGUAUGCAAAAGUGUUGGAGUUUAUUCCUAAGCAUUGUCAUAUACUGAAGGAGGUCACGCUGGCCGGCAGUCCAGGAUCUUCAGAAGUUGUGCGAGGAUAUGAUUUCCUUGUUAAUGCCAUCUGGCCAGAAAUUGUCACUAACAUUGAAGCCAGAACACAUUCCAUCUUUGCACCUGGAAAUCCUGAUGUUUUCCAUAAAAGAUUCAAAUCAAGUAUGCAGUUCUUGGAUGAUUUUGAGAAGCAAUGUGGGACACAGGCAAGUGUCAAACGUUUGAGAGACCAUAGCAGUUACCAUGCCUUCAUGACAAAAUGGAGCCUCCCGGUUUAUUACCAAAUUAGGUUUCAAGAUAUUGCUGGUGAUUUUGAGACAGCUCUAGACAUUCCAUUCAACAGAGCCUCAGGUUCCUCCGAGUUCCGUCUCCAUUCCACAGCUGUUCUGUGGACCUCCCUCCUCAGCUGCUGGUCCGAUGAUGUGUACCUCGAUCUGUUAUGCAAUCGCUUCUGGAAGCUGAACCUUCAGCUCCUCAGUAGAUACACCCAUUGGCUGGAUGAGUGCUACGAGACUGAGAUUGAAAAAAGAAAAACCAGUGAAAAAGAUGUAGCUGAAAGCAGUAAACCAAAGUCAACAUUACCUACAGACAAGCAAAAUGGGAGUGGUGAUAGGGCUGUUACCCCAUCAGAAGGGGAAACAACUCCCCAAAGUCCCCCAGCUACUGACGGACAACUACUGAGCCUGAUGUCAGAUGCCCUCAAACUAGCAUCUUUUAUAUUCCAGUUAUUUGAUAACACAAUAAAACCAAGACUGAUAGCAGUAGGAUACACAGACUUGGAAGAUAUCAGAGAAUGUUUAACAGAGUGCAGUGAAGAGAUAAAAUCCAAACUUCCACGAUUCCAAGCUCAUCUGGUAGAGGAAAUAACUACACAGUGUUCUGUACAUCUCAAACAAGUCAACGACAUUCCACGGCUGUACAGGAGAACCAAUAAAGAGGUACCCAGUAAACAGUCUAGCUAUGUGAUCAACCUACUCAAACCCAUCAAGAUGUUCACUGAAGAGCAUGCAGAGAUUUUGGAUGAGAAGCUAAAACUUCAGAUGUUUCAAAGAGUAUUUGACAACCUGACUGAUUCAUAUUAUUCUGCAACAUCAGAUGUACUAAUGUCAGUUAAAAAGGUGGAAGAUAGUCUAAAGAGACUGAAGAAAAACAGGGGGACGGAUAAAAAUGCUGGCAACCAGGGCAUGACAGAUGACGAUAAAAUCCGACAGCAGUUCAUAGUGGACAUAGAAUCGUUCGGAGCUCAGCUGAAUAAUUAUGGAGAUUUUAGUAACCUGGAGACUUUGAAAAAACUGCAGUCCCUGGCAGAGGAGGCUAAGAAUUCCAUGACAACGGCCCAGUGAUGAAAGCCACUCGUACAUGUUUAUGUAUAUUUAUAUAGUUAAACAAAUACUUUAAACAGAAUUACUCCAAGUAAUUCGAGAAUAUACUAGUAUGUUAUGAAUUCAAUA
rnacentral:misc_RNA from 1 species